CACACCUGUCCAGUUUCUCUUCUUUCUCUUUCGACAACACAACAUCCACUGUCUCUCUCUCUCUCUCUCUCUCUCUCUCUCUGUUUCAGUGUUUCACAAAUCACACGCAAGGGCGAUCUGAGUGGAUGAGAUGUGAAACUUCGCAGCUGAUCACCAUCGCCUUCUUCCUCCCCUUGUUUCUAACCAAUCUUCAAAUUCCAUGUUUUUUUAGAGAGUACGAUAAUGAUGGCAAUGACGAGGACCAAUAUAAUGGAAAUCAUCAUGCAUUUCCUUGACUUCUUUUGCAAACUUUUUGCAGUUUGGAGAGCAUCGUUACCCUGUCUCACAUGAUCAGUUGCGUUUGUCACCUGUUCAUUACAGAAUGCCAUUUUAAAAAGACAAGAUGGUUAGUUGUCUGAAGUGGUAAAUAUUUGCAUAGAAGGCUACAAGUGUUCUUGGGAGCUUCUCUGCUGGAAAAAGUCCUAUGUUUCCAGCAUAGAAGUUCUCAAAAGCACUUUUUGCCCAAACAACUUGAACAAACAUACAGAUGAUACUAGCACAAAUUAUUUCCACAAAUAUACUUGCGAAGUAAUUGAAAAGACUUCAGGUGUUAAUUACUUCCACA